AAAGGAAUAGACGGGGGCCCGCACAAGCGGAGGAACAUGUGGUUUAAUUCGAUGAUACGCGAGGAACCUUACCCGGGUUUGAAAUGUAGAGGAAUAAUGUGGAAACAUGUUAGCCAGCAAUGGUCUCUAUGUAGGUGCUGCAUGGUUGUCGUCAGCUCGUGCCGUGAGGUGUCGGCUUAAGUGCCAUAACGAGCGCAACCCUUGUCGUUAGUUGCUAACAGUUUAAGCUGAGGACUCUAACGAGACUGCCACCGCAAGGUGCGAGGAAGGUGGGGAUGACGUCAAAUCAGCACGGCCCUUACGUCCGGGGCGACACACGUGUUACAAUGGGGGGUACAGCGGGUUGCUACCUGGCGACAGGAUGCUAAUCUCACAAAACCUCUCUCAGUUCGGAUUGGAGUCUGCAACUCGACUCUAUGAAGCUGGAUUCGCUAGUAAUCGCGCAUCAGCCACGGCGCGGUGAAUACGUUCCCGGGCCUUGUACACACCGCCCGU
rnacentral:rRNA from 1 species